GGGCGAUUAGCUCAGUUGGGAGAGCACCUGCCUUACAAGCAGGGGGUCACUGGUUCAAGCCCGGUAUCGCCCA
rfam:Ferrimonas marina strain DSM 16917 genome assembly, contig: EK02DRAFT_scaffold00002.2